AGCUCAGCUGCUGGUGGCUCCAUAUCAGGAGCACCAGACUCCAGGGCUGCCUUGAGGUAAAGAGACUGGAGGUCUCAGUUUCAAUAAAUAAUACAUAGUCUCAGUACAACGCACCUGCAAGUAUCUGCUGUGCAGCAUCAGGAGGUGGGCAUCGCUGUCUGCAUCUCUCCCAGACUCAGCAGGGCACCUGUUGUCUGUGGAGCCACUCUGGAAAAAGCUGGUAUCCUGACAACCAGGAACACCUUCCAAGCAAGAUGAAGAAAACCACGCCCAUAGUGAAUGACUCACUCUGAAUCAGCCGACCACCAGAUCCUGAGCCCUUCAGCAAUGCAGCUCACCAUGUUGGCUUCUUUCCUGAGACAUGGAAUCUCAAGGCAGUGUGAAGCCAUUCAGCACUGCGGUCUGGCCAGCCUGCAUAAAUCGCCUGCUCUCUUUCACAGCCUUCCCUGAAAAUAAAGCGACUGCACACAGACGGCGGCGGCGUAUGAAAAUAAAGCCAGGGCUUCCUCCAAGCCUUUCUGCUUGCAUAGCAGUGCAGUGUAUUUCAAUUAACAUCCAACCUUCUCCAACAGUGCUACUUCAGUAUUUGUAAGAGCCUGCCUUUUAGAAUUUAAUACUCAGACAGCCAUUUUGCAAAAAAAAAAAAAAA
rnacentral:lncRNA from 1 species